AUGCAGAUUCAUACAGCACUAAUGCACCGGAUCCCCAUUCAGAACUCCGAAGUCAAAGCGUGCUUGGGCGAGAGUAGUACUAGGAUGGGUGACCCCGUCAAAGGUGCUUGGCGCGAGAGUUGCUAC
rnacentral:rRNA from 1 species